rnacentral:rRNA from 1 species
AAUACCGGAUAACAACACUAGACGCAUGUCCAGAGUUUGAAAGAUGGUUCUGCUAUCACUCUUGGAUGGACCUGCGGUGCAUUAGCUAGUUGGUAAGGUAACGGCUUACCAAGGCAAUGAUGCAUAGCCGAGUUGAGAGACUGAUCGGCCACAUUGGGACUGAGACACGGCCCAAACUCCUACGGGAGGCAGCAGUAGGGAAUCUUCCACAAUGGACGAAAGUCUGAUGGAGCAACGCCGCGUGAGUGAAGAAGGGUUUCGGCUCGUAAAGCUCUGUUGGUAGUGAAGAAGGAUAGAGGUAGUAACUGGCCUUUAUUUGACGGUAAUUACUUAGAAAGUCACGGCUAACUACGUGCCAGCAGCCGCGGUAAUACGUAGGUGGCAAGCGUUGUCCGGAUUUAUUGGGCGUAAAGCGAGUGCAGGCGGUUCAAUAAGUCUGAUGUGAAAGCCUUCGGCUCAACCGGAGAAUUGCAUCAGAAACUGUUGAACUUGAGUGCAGAAGAGGAGAGUGGAACUCCAUGUGUAGCGGUGGAAUGCGUAGAUAUAUGGAAGAACACCAGUGGCGAAGGCGGCUCUCUGGUCUGCAACUGACGCUGAGGCUCGAAAGCAUGGGUAGCGAACAGGAUUAGAUACCCUGGUAGUCCAUGCCGUAAACGAUGAGUGCUAAGUGUUGGGAGGUUUCCGCCUCUCAGUGCUGCAGC